rnacentral:lncRNA from 1 species
AAAAAUAAAUUUACUUUUAAAUAAAAAUUUAGAUGUUGUUUCCUCUCCUCCUUAAACAAAAAAAAUUAAAAAUAACAAUAAACACUACUCUAAAAAAUUAAAUAAUUAAAAAUUACCUUUAAAAAGCAAAGAAUUUAGAAAGCCUUAAACUAAACCCUAAAACACUUUGUUACCUUCUUCUUUUUUCCUUUCAAACCCUCUUCUUUCUCUUCUAUUUCUCAACCAAGC